UGGUCGAGGAAGUGGGUCCAACUUUAUCCCUAUAGUGUGAUAGAAAUGGCCGUACUUCCUUUAUA
rnacentral:pre_miRNA from 1 species